AAUCUAAAAGCAGGGAGAUGGCCAAAAUAGGCAGUCAGGGAAGAGCACAGGCAUUCCUAUUGCAUCUGCUCAGUCUCUCAGCAGUCCUCAUGUCAGGGAGUCUCCCUGGGUUACCAGCUAGGGCCAGAGAGGGUCACCUCUUCUCACUCACUGUGUGAAAACAGGAUGAGACACAGUGCAAGGUCUCUCAGAGGGUGUCUGCUAAGUGCUGAAAGUCAGAUAUAACCGGCGUUGAAUAUGGGUGUUCUCCAUGGCUCCAUUCACCAUGUAGUACCUCAGAGGCAUUCCCUGGGUUGGUUUGAGCUAGUUGGAUGACUAUGCACCCAAGAUUCCUUGACCUUUCUUUGGUUGUCACUGGCUUUCAGAGGACUGGCCCUUCGUGACUACCACAGGAGAUUUGGACUUCAAGGGUCAACAGCUGCAAGGUCUGUCAAUCCAUAGGUCUGGCCAAGAAUUUCCACGAGGCAAAGCAACAUUUGGCAAUGACAAGGGCAUUCCAGUGAAGUGAAGAGGAGUGUCAGAUUUUGCAAGAGUUCUGCAAAUAAAAUAGAUUUUCUGGA